GAUGAACGCUGGCGGCGUGCCUAAUACAUGCAAGUCGAGCGAACGGACGAGAAGCUUGCUUCUCUGAUGUUAGCGGCGGACAGGUGAGUAACACGUGGAUAACCUACCUAUAAGACUGGGAUAACUUCGGGAAACCGGAGCUAAUACCGGAUAAUAUUUUGAACCGCAUGGUUCAAAAGUGAAAGACGGUCUUGCUGUCACUUAUAGAUGGAUCCGCGCUGCAUUAGCUAGUUGGUAAGGUAACGGCUUACCAAGGCAACGAUGCAUAGCCGACCUGAGAGGGUGAUCGGCCACACUGGAACUGAGACACGGUCCAGACUCCUACGGGAGGCAGCAGUAGGGAAUCUUCCGCAAUGGGCGAAAGCCUGACGGAGCAACGCCGCGUGAGUGAUGAAGGUCUUCGGAUCGUAAAACUCUGUUAUUAGGGAAGAACAUAUGUGUAAGUAACUGUGAACAUCUUGACGGUACCUAAUCAGAAAGCCACGGCUAACUACGUG
rnacentral:rRNA from 1 species